GAUGGUGUCCAACACACAAGAGGAAUGUGUGUGUGGACUUACCAUUGCAACUGCAAAAAGCCACUGCUCAGCUUGGCUUAUGAUGUUCAGCCCUUCUGCAAUUCCAGGGAUCUAUGGAUGAUGCCCAUUGACUGCCCAUAUAGGGACACUCAGGCUUCAGACUGCACAGAAAGAGAGGGAUGAGAGAGAGAAACGGGCGUGAGCUUCACCCAGCCUCCAGAUGUCUUGAAAAGUUCAUGCUUCAAAUGUACUUACAGAACAAAGAGAGGAAAUAUCCAGGCAAAUCUUUCCUUAUAUUCAAUUUGUUGGAAAGCUUUUAGAUCCUGCUGUUGUUCUUUGUGCAUACACGAGUGUAAUCUUAACAGCACAUCUGGCAUCAUGGAUGUAGAACUGCAGCUUUCUGUUUCUACAUAAACCCGUGCACACUUUGAGAAUGAAUCUGGGCCUGUGGUUCCUCCAUAGGCAGUGAUCUCCACAUUGCCUCUUUGUUCCAGUAACAAGGACCACUCUGGUUAGUGCCUCAGAGGUGACAGGAUAAAAAAAAUUGUUGAUGGAUGAUUAAAGAUAUGAUUACUUCCUCUUACCACAAA